AACGAACGCUGGCGGCAUGCCUAACACAUGCAAGUCGAACGAGACCUUCGGGUGUACUGGCGCACGGGUGUGUCACGUGUGGGAACCUGCCCUUAGGCUCCGAAUAACACCCCGUCGGGGGUGCUAACACCGGGUAAUGUAUUCGGACCCAACAUUCAUCUUCCUUGGAUGAGCGGGGGUUGUUCUGGCCUGUGGGGAGGGUAUAAGCCUACGAAGGAGUCGUUCGAUAGCUGGUCUGAGAGGAAGAUCAGCCACUCUGAGACUGAGACACGGCCGGGACUCCUACGGGAGGCGGCAGUGGGGAAUAUUGGACAAUGGGCGAAGUCCUGAUCCAGCAAGGCCGCGUAAGUGAUGAAGGCCUUAGGGAUGUAAAGCACGUUUACCCGGGGUGAUAAUGACGGUACCGAGAGAAUAAGCUCCGGCUAACUUCGUG
rnacentral:rRNA from 1 species